UACAGGGGGUGCAAACGUUGCUCGGAAUCAUUGGGCGUAAAGCGCACGUAGGCGGUUCGUUAUGUCGGAUGUGAAAGCCCUUGGCUUAACCGAGGAAGUGCAUCCGAAACUGGCGAGCUAGAGUACGAAAGAGGAUCGCGGAAUUCCCGGUGUAGAGGUGAAAUUCGUAGAUAUCGGGAGGAACACCGGUGGCGAAGGCGGCGAUCUGGGUCGAUACUGACGCUCAGGCGCGAUAGCGUGGGGAUCAAACAGG
rnacentral:rRNA from 1 species